rnacentral:rRNA from 1 species
GGUCUAAUACCGGAUACGACCAAUCUCCGCAUGGGGUGUUGGUGGAAAGCGUUAUGUAGUGGUUAUAGAUGGGCUCACGGCCUAUCAGCUUGUUGGUGAGGUAACGGCUCACCAAGGCGACGACGGGUAGCCGGCCUGAGAGGGUGACCGGCCACACUGGGACUGAGACACGGCCCAG